GACGAACCGUCCAAACGUUAUUCGGAAUCACUGGGCUUACAGAGUUCGUAGGCGGUCUGGAAAGUUGGGUGUGAAAUCCCUCGGCCUAACCGAGGAACUGCGCUUGAAACUACCAGACUCGAGGGAGAUAGAGGAAAGCGGAACUGAUGGUGGAGCGGUGAAAUGCGUUGAUAUCAUCAGGAACACCGGUGGCGAAGGCGGCUUUCUGGGUCUUACCUGACGCGGAGGAACGAAAGCUAGGGGAGCGAACGGG
rnacentral:rRNA from 1 species